rnacentral:lncRNA from 1 species
CCCUUCUAAAAUACCCCAAUAUUUAAUUAAAACAACAAAACAUAAUUCAGAGUAAAUAUGCAAUUAAGGGUGUCACACUUGACACUUCACACCAUUUUCCAAAUAACUGGUCAUACUCAUUUGUUUAUCAAAAUAAAACAUUGCACAAUACGCAGCGGAUAGAGAUCAAAUCAAUCAUGCAAACCAUGUAAUCACAUUACAUGUAAAACUGUUCAACAACCACAAUGAAAACAAAGUAAAACAUCCCGUCCCGAUGU